GGUCAAGUUAUUAAGGGUGCAGGGCGGAUGCCUUGGCACUAGGAGCCGAUGAAGGACGUGAUAAGCUGCGAUAAGCUUCGGGGAGUUGCACGUAAACUUUGAUCCGAAGAUUUCCGAAUGAGGAAACUCACUUAGAGUAAUGUCUAAGUAUCAUUAAGUGAAUACAUAGCUUAAUGAGGGGAACUCAGGGAACUGAAACAUCUAAGUACCUGAAGGAAGAGAAAGAAAUUCGAUUCCGUAAGUAGCGGCGAGCGAACGCGGAUUAGCCCAAACCAAUAAAGUUUUCUUUAUUG
rnacentral:rRNA from 1 species